GAUUACACAGAGCAAAGGAGAUACAGAGGAACAGAAAACAAACUGAGACUCUGCGGUAAUGGUGGUAGAGAUUUUAUGCUGAAGACUACACAAUAUUCUGGCUACAGAGAAAAUCCUGAAAAUGUUGGAAUGUCUAAGUAUUCCAGCACAUCCUUGAUAUUCUAGGAUGUAAGAAGAAGCACAGCUUUACAAAAUAUGAUGUUUGGUUCACCACCCCUCAGCCCCACCCUGUUUUUAAAACAAAGUGCAGUAAAGUGAUAUGCUAAUGAUA